rnacentral:lncRNA from 1 species
UUACCUUUGUUUUCCUUACAGGGAACAACCUUUUGGAACUAUGAUGUUUUGAAGAGAGAGUUGAGCUAGCGUAGAUAUUCUUUUGUAUAGCUCCUCUGUAGUUGGAAAACUCUAAAUGUACCUUGAAUCAAUGUUUCCUUUUGAAUUGUAAAUGUACCGACAUGUGUAUAUAUAAAAAUGUUUAGUCAUGUCUAUGUGUUAUAUUUGAUUUGAGAAUGUUCAUUCUCUAGGAUGGUAUGAAGUUACUUGUACUUGAUUGGGUUUCGGACGAGUGUAGAAUUUGAAUAAGGAAAGAAAAAAUUUUGGCGGGAAACUGUACAGCAGAAUCCGGCCGUAUAUCCAGCCAGUUCUUGGCUGGAUACAUGGCCGGAUUGACAGGGGAUUUUGAAAAAAAUUUCGAGUUUCUCUCUGCCUCAAAUCCGGCCAAGUCUUGGCUGGAUUGUGACGUGGCAGUCAUUGUUCACUUCCAUUUUCAUUUUCGUUAUUUAUUAUUUGAUGUCGUUGAAUCGAGUGGUUGCUGUGAUAUCUUUUAGGAUGGUUUGGCAUUCGUGUGUGCGUCUUAGUAGUCCUGGCGAGAGUUGGGCAGGCAGUUCGCUAACCCUUAGGGUACGCCUUAGGGGAAGAUGGGGCUGUCACAGUUGGUAUCAGAGCCUAGGUUAGAAUUUUGUUUCUUAGGACCUGUGGGGAUUGUAUUAAGGCGUCGUUAAGUGUGAUUACCUUGUCUAAGAUGUAAACCUUUGUUAUCCUUAUAGAUUAUGGUUGGAGCUAGUAAAGGGGGCGGAGGUGAGUUGCCUCGGAGGCGCUUUCGUGUCAUUGAUUAUCAGGAGAGGCCUGGAGGACCAAUCCGCCGAUGGAGUGCCGCUAGUCGGACUCGCCGUUGUAGUCGUUGCCAGAAUUACUCAUAUUCGUGGCCGUCCUCGAUGAGCGGAGAAGGCUUAGGCGAGCCGCCGCUAGGGACCAAACCGAGAUGGUGAGGCUGAGGGGUGUCAUGCGAAUACAAGCUAACCAGAUUCGCGAGCUUCAAGGGAAUGUAGCUAUGGAGCAAGAGAGAAUCGAUGCUCUUAGAGAGCAGUUGCACGCAGCUACCAACUGCCUUACUAGGGUGGUUCGGGAAGUUAGAAACCGGUCGAGAGGUAUUAUUAACGAGUGUGAGGCGCUAAUCCAAAGAGUGAUUGGCGCCAAUGUACCAGUGGAGGCUCGAGGCGACGGAACACCGGGAGAGGGGAGCACACCUAGUUCUAGCCAAGCGAAAGAGUCUGUGGGCUCAGUUGGGAACUAGGAUAAAGCUCCUUUGAGCUAAGUUUUGAUUCCAUGGGAGGUGUAGUUUAGGGGGUAAACUCUUAGCUAGCUGCUUUUGUAUUUUUGGUCUAGCUUUGUAAAUAGUACUUUUGAUGACUCCGUUAUCUCAUAGAAUUUUCUUUGUUUGUAUCUGACUGAUUGGUAUUGUGUGACUUGUUUGAUACGGUUGUGUUAUAUGUAUAUAUGUUUUGGAUUUGUGAGUAUCUUUUGUUCCCUGUUCAUGCAUAUAAUCAUUUUGAUGUUAUAUUUAUGCCUUAACCCUAGAUUGAUUAAAUUCAAUGGAGGGUACUCGUAGUGGACGAGGCCGUGUGUGAGAACCCAGAAAAAAAAAAUUUUAUUAUUUAUUUAUUAUUUUAUUCCUGUGCACCCGUUUUCUUUUAUUUUCUUUAUUCUAUUACUUUUCUCAACAUUUUAACAGUAAAUAUAGCUUUUAAAUCCAUUUUCUAGUAUAAGGUAGUUCGUGAGAAAUUUGGAACGUCUUUUGGUCGUGGGACCCGCUAGUGCAUUAAGUGAGAGAAAUUUGACCAAUUAGGUUAAAUUUUGCGUAAAGGGUUUUUGCUACUAGGUAUUAGUGUAGACACCAAAUUUUGAAUAAUUUGUAUGUGGCAUCUACUUCAUGAUUUUUAUUUUAGAUCGCUUGCAUUUAGUUCAUUGUUGUGUGUUUUGCAUUUUUAGUUGUUAUUUUAUUUUAGUUUUAUUCAUUUUGCCCUUUUAGUUUGUCUAUUCAUUUUUAUUUUGUCAUUUCAGGUUUUAAUCACUUUUAAGUUUUAGAUUUUAGUUUUUAGUUUUUUUUAGUUUUCUAAGUUUAUAGAGUUUUAGAAAGAAAAGGAAAACAUCAAAAAUAUGUUUUAGUCAUUUUUGUUUUUAUUCAAUGCUUUCUUAAAAGAAAAAUAGAAAAAUGGAAAAAAAGAAAAAAAAAGGGGAAAAUUUGUUCACAAAAAUAUGUUUAUUCAAUCUUUGGGGCACAUUAGUUAUUUUUAAGUUAUUUUGAGGAAAAGAAAAUGAUGAAAAUUGAGAAUUUGGAAAUUUUAAAAAUGGCCAUUUUUGUUUAGUUUCUUUUGUUUAAAAUUAUUUUUUGUUUUGUUAUUAUUAUUAUUACCUGGUUUGUGUAAUUUUGUUAUUAUUAUUAUUAUUAUUAUUAGUUAUAUUUUAUCAUUUCUGUAUUUAUUAAAUUAUUUAAAAAAAAAAAAAAAAAAAAGAGGUUUUACGUGCAAGCUGCGGAAACGCAGCUUGCAAAGGACAGUCACGGAUUACCAAUCGAAGGGCUAAGGGGAGAAGGCUUAAGUGAAGAUAAUCUACAGCCAUUGAAUGAAGGGUUAAGGUUGGCUAGCCGUAUAUAAAAGGGGAAGAAACGGAGAGCCGAAAGGGGGAAAAAAAAGAUUGAAGGGUUUCAGGGAAAAACAAAACAGAAAGAGUUGACGGGCAAGGGGAGGAUUCUGGGGGGAGUGAACGGAGGAAGGGAAACCAAAGCAAAAGGGCAGCUACGGGAUAGAGUGCUGGGGGGUUGGACAACUAAGGAUAGAACAGAGGGAAGGAAGAGAGAUUUCUGGGGGUUGACGUCUGAACAGAUAGAGAGGAACUAGAAAAGCGACGGUAAGACGGAGGGCUUCGAGCAAAGGCUGAGAAAAGAGGACGGCUGGAAGUAGAAGGAAAAAACAGCAAACAGAGAAGGGAGGGGCGGUUGCUGGAAAAGAAAAACAAGGGCAAAAGUUAGAACAACAGAGAGCAAAAAGGCUGAGGAAGUGACGGUGAGGUUUUAGAGAGAGUGGAGAGCCGAGAGGGUAGCAAGGCUGCAACUAACGGGAAUCAGCAAUCAUCAUCGCCACCAAUCUUCACCUACAGAGCUUUGUAAGCUAUGUUCUUCCCUCAAGAUUUCAUUUUUCUUUAAGCAUGGACGCUUGUAGUUUUCUGUUGUAUUUUUAUCUCAAUUUUUCUGGGGGUCUGCCUACGUUUUUCCUGAAAGAUUGCUGUUUUAUUUGUUGCUUAGUUUGAAGUUUCUAGUUCUUCCUGACAAAUUUUGAGGACUUGCCGUGUUUGAUGGACUGCCCGCUAAGAACUUUAAUUGAAUGAUGACUUUGUUGCUUUUUGUGUGUGUGAAAAAUGACACGGUCGGCAAGCUCCAUUUUUGUCAAAAUAGUCGAUUUUCAUGGAAGAGAGUAGAGUUUUGAAAGGUUCGGACGGGUUUGUUUUGCAUCCUUCCUGCCUCUUUUCUUCUUACUUUUCCUUGUGUACGAACCUGAAUUAUUUUGGAGAUUGAUGCAAGUAGUGGCGGCUGGAUUUACUUGAUUUUUGCAUAACACUGUCCGAGUGAGUACGAGCAGCAACUUUGGCAACGGAAUAGAAAGUUUUUGCAUUCCCUUUGCUGUUUUCUUACAUGCAAUUGCUCAUCAAAGUUUUGGCUAUCCAGUUUGCUAGUCGACUUCUAUUUUGGUAAAAGGAAGCAGAUAAUGGGUGUUGGGUUUGAAUUUUGGGGGCUGAAAUGGAAAAUGGCCGAAAGAAUGCUAGCUGGAAGUGAAUAGAACAGGAUUGCCGCAUCAUGUUGCAUAAAAUUUCCCAGCAUUUACGUGAUCCCCUUUCUAUGUUUUGUUUUGUUUGAUGCUGAAGUCGUGUGUUGUUUGUUGAAAUCAAAGUUAUACAUUGGUUCGAGAGAGUGUGGUUGAGGAUAGCAUUGGGUUUUCUGAAAUCUGUGAACAAAAUGCAGCAAGGGGAAGCUGCUGCAUUUUUUUUUUCCCUUUCUUUCCUUUGCCGCGUUUCCUGUCCCUUGACUACUGGUUGAGUUUUUGCACUUCAGUGUCAUGUUUGAGGGAAGCAAGGGAAGGUUGAAUGCUGAGUUUGCAUGUUGAAAUGUUUGGAGCAUGUUCGAGCACUAGGUUUUCUUUUGCUGCAUUCUGUUUCGGUUGUAUCCCAUUGCUGCAUUUCGUUUUUUACUUCGGGCAGCUAUCAUUCCAGUUUCUCUGUUUUGAUCUUUGCAAGAGAGGUGGAAUGGCCGGGUUGAUUCACAAUUGGAAAGUUUGUGUCUUGUGAUUGAUUUUCAUUGGUAAUGUUAAAGAUGGCAUUGGAACACAAUACGUUGCAACAAAGGUAUUAGCUGGAAUUUUGCAGAAGCCUUUGUAUCUACGUAAAUUGCAUGAAAAUUGCAUGAAAUAGUUUUCAAAAAUUAUACUUUGGUCCCCCAAGUCUCCCCUUAAGCCACUAAGGCCCAAAAACUUUGGAAAUUUAAUCAAUUGGAUCCUUUGUAUUUUGCAGCAACGCAUGAUGGCCCAGUUACAUUUCAUGUUCUUGCAAUUAGGUUCUAAGGUGUUUGCAUUUGAAUCAUUAAUUGAUCUUUAUUACUUUGGGGACCUUUGAAACUCUUUGAUGAUUCAUUUUUGACGUUGAUUGUGAUUGAUUAGGGAUCAUUAUUGGGUCCUAGAAAUGCAAGUUUAAACCAUUCAUGGACCUUCAUUCAUUCUUGGAUUUUUGAGAUAUGAUGUUUGCUUGGACUUUAUUAUUUAUUUGGGGACCCUUGAGUUCUUAAAUGCCUCAAUUAAGUUCUAAUUUUUUGCAAAUAGAUCUUAGAAUAGUUGAAUUUCGAGCCAUUACUUGACUUUUUCUCUUUGCCAUUGGACCUUUGAAGUUCCUAAAAGUAUUUGAUUGAGCUUGAAUGCUUGGUUAGCGUUCACCAUUGAGUCUUUGGUAGCAUCAAUGUUUCAAUUCAAUUGCUUGUUGGCCUUCAUUGGUUACCAUGUUUUGCUAAGGUGAUGCUUAAUGCAUGGAUUUGUGAACCUUGCAACUAAAUGAACUUGUGGUGACCCAUGUUCUUUAAUUUCCCUAAAUAAGUUGAUUAAUUGACCUUUUCAUGCUCAUGGACCUUUUGAGUUCUAAAAUGUUUCAUUUAGCUUUGAAUGGUUGAUUAAUGCUUGCAUUUGGGUCCUUGGUGGAUUCCUUUAUUGGAAAUUAUGCAUAGUUUGAUUUCACUUAAAGUGCAAUUAGGAGAGUUUUUGGUGACUUUGUUAUACUUUACUAUUUGAGGUACCGUGACCUUUUUAUUGUUUUGAAGCCAUUUUUCUUUCAUUUGGACUCCAUUCCAAGGGAGGUACACUCUCUCCCUCAUUUUGCACUUCAUUUGACUCUACGUGCUCCUACGUGUUAUGUGAAUAUGCAUGCCUACUCCGCUUUCCUUACCUCCUUGCAUGCAUUUACUUGUUUUUACUUCUAUUUAAGUUUUAUGGGGUAUGUGUACACCUCUUGGCUUGUAAUAGAUAGUGCUCGGAGAGCAUCUGGUCCAUUUCCCUUUCCCCUUUAUGCUUUCAUGGGGUAUGUGUACACCUCUUGGCUUGUAAUAGAUAGUGCUCGUAGAGCAUCUGGUCCAUUUCCCUUUCCCCUUUAUGCUUUCAUGGGGUAUGUGUACACCUCUUGGCUUGUAAUAGAUAGUGCUCGUAGAGCAUCUGGUCCAUUUCCCCUUCCCCUUGGUUGCUUGCUUUUGUUGUUACAUGUUAAAUUGCUUUAGUAGGCUCUUGCAUCUAGUCGAGCAUGCUAAGUGCUACGUGCUAUGUGUUUACGAGUAUUUUGGCAUGUCUACUUGCUUUCAUAGCCAUGAAUGAAUGGAAUGGAUGAAUGUACGCUUCCGCUAGUCCAACGCUAGUCGGAAUUCAUAGAAUGGGCUAGUCCAACGCUAGACCCUUAGGGAUUUCCCCUCAUUAGCAUAUCUUUUGCUUGUUCACCACAUAUCAUGCAUUUUUCUUAGUUUUAUCACUUGGCAUGCUCCUCUAGUCCCUUCCCUCUCACCUUAGAUUUUUGCAUCUCAUACUAGCUAUAGGGUUCAUUUUGCUUGAGUGUCCCCUUCUGAUAAGGGAAAUGAGCGAGUGUGGCUACUCGAUAGCCUUAGCACGCUAGUUUCGCCUUCUAAUCAAAGGGAAAAUCAAGUCACGAUUUAGGUCUCCCCGUGCCCAAUAUGCAUGAAUUCCCUAGGCUCAUGCAUUUUCAAUCCACUCUAUCAUUACACUUUCACUUUUGUCUCAUUAGCACACAUGCACCUUUUUAUCACCUUCACUUGCACACGAACACUUUUUUGUCUCCACUUGCACACGAACCCUUUUAUCUUCACUUGCACACGAGCAUUUUAUCUUCACUCACACACGAGUACUUUCAUCUACAUUUGCACACCUUCACUCUUAUCUUAUUACUUUUAUCAUUUUUCUCACUUCACACAAACUCACACUUUCACAUGGCAUGCAUUCCACUCAUUUUUCACGUCAUUUAGGUUUAGGUGUGACCUCUUCAAAAGGGUCAUUAUUGGGCUUCACAAUUAAUGUGAUUGGCACCACUCAACCUUUGAAGAGAAAUUUCCCCCAAUCCCCCUAGGUCUAGGUUUUUGCACUCAUAUAGAUAUAUCCAAUACGCGGUACAUACCUUGGGUAGAAAAAUUAGGAAAAAUUGGUUUGAAUCGCGCAACUAGCCUUGGCUAGGUCAAAGGGGUGCCUUGGAUUCUAUCCUUGCCUUCCCCUUUGUCAAACGUGACCCCCGAACCUUUUUUUUUGGCUUACGUGGACUAGGAGUCGUUUUAAAAAGGGUUUUACUACUUUGUCUUUAAAAAACACUUUUUGGGUGACUUGGUACACCCCAAAUCUAUACCAAGUGGCGACUCCGUUUUCAUAUUUAAAAAACCCUUUUUAAAAUUUCAUUUGGCCAAAUCGUCGCUUUCCAAAGUCCCAUGGCCUUUUUACUUUUCAUUUUGCACACGUUCACACCACACUUCACACACACAUCACAUUCAUACAUAUCGAUUCAAAAAGUGGGGCGCGACAGUUGGCGACUCCACUGGGGACUUCCUAAGUGGGUCCAAGCAUUUGACUUAGCCAUUCGUUUCCUUUUUCUACCCUUUUUAUGCAUUGCAUUUGGAUAUUAGGAUUGCAUUUUUUAUUUUUAGGACCUUUUGUCUUAUAUACGUAAUCAAACCAAUCCCUCGACUCACGAAUGUAUGUUUGAAUGAAUGUUUACUUGUUAUCUCGCGCUUGCAUUGCAUUUUGGGAGGUGUGGGUCACCCUAGAGCCUUGCGUUGGUUCUUGACCCUUCCCCUCCAAACGAGCACUAACAUACGAGCAUACGCUUUACUUCUUUUAUCCCUUUAUUUUUCUUUUAGUGGCUUGUCACGCCACUCUACCCUAUUAGGAUUAGGUGACUCACUUGGACAUGUGAUCACGACACGAUGUGUGUGUAGCAUGUUCCAAUGGGUCACUCAAUCUUCCACUUAAAGCUAUUGGUUGAUAGCCUUUAGCUUUUGGUCGAAGAUUGAGGUUUUGAUAGAUUCACUCAAACACGUAGCCGUGACACGAUGUGUGCGUAGCGGUGUUUGGGGAAUCGCUCGAGCCACCGACAAAGAAUCUUGGGAUUGAUGACCCUUGAUUUCUAAGUCUGAAGGCUCGGGGACCUGAGCUUAUCGAGUCUAGAUGCAUUAGCGAACCCCAACCUCAUGCAUCCAUAUUAGAAUUGCCUAGGGUAGAGUCUACCUUACCCUAUUAGGGACACGAUUCACGAGGGGAGGGGUCCAACCCCUUUCUCCUUUUUAUUGCUUUAUUUCUUUGUAUUUAUUUCGUUGCUACAAUGUGUUAUGUGCAUUUAUCUGGCUGAGCUAACUUUUCUUGGUUUUGUGUCCCCAUUGCAUUCACAAACUCUAGCAAAUAAAAGGUCUGGUACGACCUCCUUUUAGAACCUACCCUUAUAGAUAGGUUAUUGCACGUUUAAAUAUUUUGGUAUAUUGCAUUCAUAGAUUAAUAAUUGCAUAUCAUUCUAGGCCUACCUUGGCGUAUAAAAGGUCCUUUUAGAUCAUGAUUUCAUUUCAAAUUGCAUGUUUUACUGCUUUAAUAAACUGGCAUCAUGCAUAAACCCUAGAAAGGGAAUGCCAUUUAGGGGAUCCCGUGUUAGGAAUAAACCACCCCAUGUCUCGGAUAUAUAAUCCAAAUGAGACUUGCACGUUUACCUUUCUCGUACCGUCCGAAGGGGUAGUGCACAAGGUAAGGUAAAGAUCCGAUCAUUUUCAUGAAGCAAUUUUUUGGAAUAUGAACAUCUAAUAAUCACUUUUUGGCCAUUUUCUCAAAAUUGGUAAAAUUCCCUUGCGUAAAAGGACGUUAAUUCGAAGAAAUGAUUCCUCAUUGUUGAGACGAUAAAUAUAGAGGCCAAAUUUUGAUUUUAGAAGCUCAUAGACCAAGGCAUUGUAAUGAUUUCUUGAAACCACCCAGUGGGCGAAUAAUUCAAUCGAUUUUUGAACAAAUCAUUUUCCAAUUCAUUCAAUUUUAGUUCAAUCUAGUCAUUUUUGAGUAAAUUCAUUUCAUCUAAUCCAUUUGACCAAUGUACCCUUUUUAGGGUCAUCCGGUCGAUUCAUUCAAUAAAUCAUCAAUGCAUUUGACCAAUUUACCCUUUGAGGGUCACCUGGUCGGUUUUGAAUAAGUUGUCAAUUCAUUUGACCAAUUUACCCUUGUUAGGGUCUUUCGGCUGAUUUUUGAAUAUAUCCCUAAUUCAAUUUCAUUCAUUUGACCAAUUUACCCAUUUUUAGGGCAACCGAGCCGAUUUUGAAUAAAUCAAGUUUCGUUCAAUCUAUUUGGUCAAUUUACCCUUUUAGGGUGAUCUGAUUAAUUUGGAAUAAAUUAAAUUUUAUUCAAUUCAUUUGACAUGUUUCCCUUUUUAGGGUAAUCCGGUCGAUUUUUAAUAAAUUGUCAAUUUCAUUUGACCAAUUAGGAUUUCAUUGUCAAAUUCCAAAUUGGGAAAUCUAGUCAAUUUUGGAAAAAACCGUCCAUUGCAUCCAAUCACUUGGUCAAUUAGGGUUUUGACCCGUAAUUCACUGAGAAAUUUUAUCAACGAAUUCCAAUCUUUUUGAUAGGAAGUUCGUCAAGGUCAAACCCGUGCGUUUUUGCAAAAUCUUGUACCGAUCAAGAGUGAUCCAUCUAUUCGGACGUUGUCCUCAUUUUGACAAAUCUCUCGUCACUCCAAUGGCCAAAUUUUUCAAAUUAUUUUUCACUCAAUGAGUUGAUCAGAUCCGUCAGGUAUGGUAUAGUGCUUACCCUAGAAGAUCGCAUUUUCAUGCUAGGCUUACCCUUGGCAUAAAAAGGGCUCCCCAAUAGGACAUGCAUCCGAAUUUUUUGGAAAGUUACUAACUCUUGCCUUUUUCUUUUCCUUUUCUUUAUUUUCUUUUGAAUAAUUAAGCAAGGGUUGAAUCUAAAGGCAUUCCUUCAAAAAGUUUUCAGGUAGUAUUUAAACAUAGCUUCUCGUCGAAGCCCCAUCAUAACGCGAUCCCGUAGUCAAGCCCAGAGGAAUCGUGUAAACAUGAGUUCGCAACCGGAACUGUCGGAUAAGUCUGCUACUACAGCCCAACCUGAGACUGCAAGUUUGGGGGUCCAACUGACCGAGAUGCUUACGAAGUUUGGGGAAAUGGCGUCAGAAAUGGCCGCUCAAAAAAAAUUAAUCGAUGAGCUUAUCAGUAGCGGAGUUCAACCUGAGUCUGUGCUCAUCAGUCAAUCGGGGCCAGAGUCAUUGGUCAUGCCCACGAUCCAAACUACUUGUACUCCUCCCUUCAUCAUUCCACCUGAAGGAACUUUCAUCUAUCCUACCAUACAUUUGCCAUACACUUACCCUCCUAACCCUUCGUUCUUUCCUACUCACAUGCAAGGUCCCCAACCGCAAAUCACCUCAAACAUACCACCUGAGCCACAUACUCUUUAUCACACUGCUGCUGAGCCAUUCCUACCAGACCAUAUUGUUCAAACCAAGGCAGAAAUGGGGGAAUCUUCUGCUCCAAUUGAUAUGAAAUUGCUUAAGCGCCUGGACCGCUUUGAUGAGUUUAUGAGGAAAAGUCAGGGCUUAAACAAGCAAGGAGUGCUGGACUAUGACGAGCUUUGUCUUUUCCCAAAUGUGCAGUUACCUGAGGGGUUCAAAACUCCGAAGUUUAAUAAAUACGAUGGCACGGGAAAUCCCAAGACACACCUCCGAUUGUUUGCCAACAAGUUGGGUAGGCCAACAGAUGAUGAAAAUCUGCCUUUGAGGCUAUUCCCAGAAAGUCUGGAGGGGGAUGCACUCGACUGGUAUUCCAAGCUGAAACCCGAAGAAGCAAAGACCUGGCUGGAUCUGUCCAAUGCAUUUGUAAGGCAAUACGAGUAUAAUUGCGAGUUGGCUCCGACACGAACCACACUAGAGGGGACAAAGAGGAAGCCAUCUGAAGAUCACAAAACCUAUGCUAAGAGAUGGAGGAAAAUAGCUGCAAAAGUCGAGCCACCAAUGACUGAAGAUGAAAUCAUUCGCACCUUCAUUAAAGCACAUGAUCCACCGUAUUUUGAGGAAAUCUUUCGCAUGACUGGAUGCUCAUUUGCUGCUAUUGUCAACAAACUUGAAGAAUAUGAUGAUUUUGUGAAGGCUGGAAAGAUCGUUAAUGUGUCGGCUCUGAAAUCACAAUUGGAAGCAAUGCAAAAUCAAGGCAGCAAUAACAAGAAAUUCCUGUUCAAAAAGAGGGAAGAGGAAGUUUCAUCUGUCUCGAAACAAGGAGUUUCUUUCCGGCCUAGAUCCCAACAAUAUCCCACCUACUCCCCCCAUUAUCCAUACCAACCACACCUUCAACCUGUGUACCAUACCACUAUUAACCACCCGCAACCUCGACCAAAUUACCUAAACACACCUACAACACCAUUCCAUAUUUCUCCACAUAACUUUCAAACUAGACCUCGCUCUCCUUAUCAUCCAAGACCCACCUUACCCGCCAACCAUAGUUACAACUAUCAACAAACCACUGGCAUCCGAGACCCGGCCCGAUAUAGAACUUUUACCAAUUUAGGUCGGCCCUUGGAUCAACUGUAUGAGCAGCUCAAGGCCGCGGGCAAAAUUGGUACAAUACCUCCUAAAGUCUAUACUAAAGGAGUUCCCCCUGGUUAUAAUCCUCAAUUUUUUUGUGCCUACCAUUCUGGAGCUCCUGGACAUUCUACUGUCAAUUGUUGGGUACUUAAACACAAAAUCCAAGACAUGAUUGAGGCCGGAGACAUAAUUUUGAAAGGAAGGGAAGAACAAGCACCAAAUAUAAGUACAAAUCCUUUUCCUGAACACAAGGACACCUUCGAGGCAUCCACCUCCAAUGAUGAAAUUUGAAGGUCUUGAAGAGCUCUUCACAAAUUGGAUGGCUGACUAUCUUCCCUCUCGAAGGGAAUUUUGAUAAAUCUAGGGGUUAUCAUUUGCUAAAAUUCAUGAAAACUUUUUCUUGCAUAUGUACAUAGCUUAAUGAAAGCAUCUUUUGCAAUUUGAUUAUUUGUUUAUUUGAUUAUUGUCUUGAUUUUUUGUUAAUUCUUUGAGAUGGCCAAAGGUAAAGUUAUUUGACUCUUUGAAUAUCACUGCUUUGGAAUUUGAUGAAACCCUUUAUUGAAAAUCCCUCCAUUGAGAAAGCCUUUAUUAAGAAAAUCCUUCAUUGAGAAAGUUUUCAUUGAGAAAACCAUUGAAAAUCCCUUCAUUAAAAAUCACUUUACUGGAAAAAUCCCUUCAUUAAGGAAUCCCUUCACUGGAAAAAUUCUUUCAUUUGAAAAUUCCUUCAUUGAUAAAUCCCUUCAUUCGAGAAAAUCUCUUUCCAGCCAGGUUGGAAGUUGAUUGGUUAAAGCAGUAUCAUUAACGAUUGAUUCUGAUUGAUGAAAAGAAGUUGAAUGCUCUAUGCUGUGACCAACGUUGUCAAAACGCAUGGCCUAUGUUCAUAACAAAAGGAUCCGCCACCGAUCUUCUGAAGAAGGAAACAAAGUGCUAAAGCGAUGAAAGACGAAGUCGAAGGCAAAUUUGCUUCAAAUUGACAAAGCAUAUUGGGUGUUCAAAGGAGAGAUGGAAGGACAGACAUUCCCUCAACCUAUCAACUCGGACAUGUGUAAGAUGCUCUUUAUUUGAUUAUGCAAAGUUUCUUUUAGGGAAUCAUGCAAGAGACGAGGCAAAAGUCAGGCCAUCUUCCUUUCCAAUCAAGACAUUUCAUCCCUAGUCAUCCCCUUUGAACUAUUAGAACAAUAAUUUUCGUUUGGCAACCCCUGAGAAUUGCAAACCCCACACUGGGGCAAAUUCAUUUUGAAAAGUGAUCAGAAAGAAAAGGAAAACCCUACACUGGGGCAAAUUUAUUUUUGAAAGAAAAAAUGAAAAGGAAGAAAGAACCCCACACUGGGGCAAAUUUAGUUUUUGAAGGAAAAUGCAAAAAGUGAGAAAAAUGCAAUGAAGAAAAUGCAAAAAAAAAAAGAAAAUCCAAUCAAACUGGGGCAAAAUUUUCCUCAGUUUCGUUCAAAAUGGGAAAUAAUUUCAAAAUGAUGCAAUCUCAGGCUAUUUCACACCCCUCUCAUCAAAAUUUGCUUUCAAGCCUCAACUUUUCUUGAAAAACACCCCACCUGACUUCAUUUCAAAAGCCCAAAGUCCUGGCUUUCGUCAUUUGCCGUAUUUUCUAUUGGGAAAUUUGCUAAUCAACUGGCAAGUGAUGUCCAUAAUGCCUUCGCCGAAUCUUACAAGGGAAGCGCAUUUUACUGAUGUCAGCAAUCUUCAGUUCAUACUCCUGAGUCGAUUAUGGUUGAGUUUUUCCAUUGUUCCUUAGGUGAAAACCCGAAAGGCCACCUCAAAAGAAAAGGGGAAAAAGAAAAGAAAAACAGAAAAACAGGAAAAAAACAACAAAAACAAAACAAAAGAAAAGGAGUGGGGGCAAUCUUGGUGAAAACCCGAAAGGGCGCCAAGGUAGGAUUUCUGCAAUGAGCAAGCACAAGGAGGAGCAACUGGUGGUUUGGUCCAUUUGGAUUUCUCCUCAUUUUUGUCAUACCCCUGCCAAUAUUGAAUUCCAGAACAAGGAUAUUCAGAGAUUCGAAUACGCAUCCUUUGGCCAAAGAUGUGUCAUUUUGUAAAACAUUCUUUUGCGAAUACAUUCUUAGGAAACUCAUUUUUUUUUUUUCAAAUUACUCGCAUUCAUGGCAUUUUUUGUAGAAUUUAAGCACAAAUGGUUAAGUGUGCAUUCUUGUGCAUAAUUAUUUUUACAUGACAUAUGAAUUUUCUUGCAUACCUCAUUCUUUAUCAUUGAAUUGUGGUGAAUGACAACCCCCGUGGUUUGCUCGAAGCAUACUUGGGUUCAGUCAUCUCUUAAAAAGGGCUAAGGUGCAACCAAGCCAAUUACGAAGGCUUCGCAAUAUGGCAAAAAGCUUACCCGGUCAGUCUGGAAAAGCAGAGACAUUUUGAAUGAUAAAUCCAACCAAGUCAGAUGCCGCGACCAACUUCGACGAAGGCAUCAAAAGGCUUAUGUUUACACGAUUCUCAAAAGGCAAGCGGAUCAAAUGAUGGUGGCAAUUCUUUUAUUUUUUCUCUUUUGCAGGAAAAUUCCAUGCAUGGACGAAAACAAUCACACCUCGCACUGGAAUCGGUGUUGGAAGGAGUCCUCUGGUGAACAAAGGCAAAUCGAAAAUGUUGCAAGUAAAUUUGAUCAAAAGGUGCAACAGCAUGGCGAUACAGAAUCAACAACACACUCAAGUUGCAAAAAUCCAUCAUAAUAGGGCAAAUUAUCUUGUUGGAAAGAUUCUCAAAAGUCGAAAAAAAAAAAAGAAGCGAAAAGAAAAGAAAAAUCACCAAACAAAAAUCAAAAAUCAAAUCAAGUUCAUCUCGGCAGGACCGGGUAUAAUCCCGCUGACCGCUUUUUAUCAAAUUGGGACCGGGUUUCAUCCCGCCAAUCUCGGCAGGACCGGGUAUAAUCCCGCUGACCGCUUUUUAUCAAAUUGGGACCGGGUUUCAUCCCGCCAAUCUCGGCAGGACCGGGUAUAAUCCCGCUGACCGCCUUUUUAUCAAAUUGGGACCGGGUUUCAUCCCGCCAAUCUCGGCAGGACCGGGUAUAAUCCCGCUGACCGCUCUUUUCGUUGGGACCGGGUUUCAUCCCGCCAACCUUGGCAGGAUCGGGUAUAAUCCCACUGGUCGAUCAUCUCGGCAGGACCGGGUAUAAUCCCGCUGGCCGCUUUUUAUCAAAUUGGGACCGGGUUUCAUCCCGCCAAUCUCGGCAGGACCGGGUAUAAUCCCGCUGACCGCUCUUUUCGUUGGGACCGGGUUUCAUCCCGCCAACCUUGGCAGGAUCGGGUAUAAUCCCACUGGUCGAUCAUCAUGGCAGGUUCGGGUUUAAUCCCACUGACCAAUUCAUUACUGGGGCAAAUCUGUGGAUACAUUUUCAAAUAAAGUCUUAUAUAGUCUUCUUCAUACAAUCCCAUUUAAAUUACUGUUCGGGUCUACCCCGUUUUAAAUUUCUGUUCGGGUCAGUCCCGCGAUUAAAAUCUUAUUCGGGUCAGUCCCACGAUCAAAAGCAUUUUCGGGUCAGUCCCAUGAUCAAAAGCAUUUUCGGGUCAGUCCCACUAACGUGCAUUUCAUAUUCCGUUGCCAAUAAACAUGGGUCAACCCCACCAAUACUCCAUCUCACUUCAAUUCGUCCCAUUUACAUUUCUGUGUGGGUCUAUCCCAAUUUUAAAUUUCUGUCCGGGUCUAUCCCGUGGGUCUAUCCCAAUUUUAAAUUCCUGCUCGGGUCAGUCCCGUUUUAAAUUUCUGUUCGGGUCAGUCCCGUUUUCAAUUCUGGUUCAGUCCCGUUUUAUUUUUCAUGUUCGGGUCAGUCCCGUAUUCAAAUUCUUGUUCAUUGGGAUCCUUUUGCAGCCAAAUAACACAGGUAAGUAUUUGGUGUCUACUUCUUUGUCUCAAGUUUUUUCAAAACUCAGACAAAGAGGGGCAAACUGUAGACACCAAAUUUUGAAUAAUUUGUAUGUGGCAUCUACUUCAUGAUUUUUAUUUUAGAUCGCUUGCAUUUAGUUCAUUGUUGUGUGUUUUGCAUUUUUAGUUGUUAUUUUAUUUUAGUUUUAUUCAUUUUGCCCUUUUAGUUUGUCUAUUCAUUUUUAUUUUGUCAUUUCAGGUUUUAAUCACUUUUAAGUUUUAGAUUUUAGUUUUUAGUUUUUUUUUAGUUUUUUAAGUUUAUAGAGUUUUAGAAAGAAAAGGAAAACAUCAAAAAUAUGUUUUAGUCAUUUUUGUUUUUAUUCAAUGCUUUCUUAAAAGAAAAAUGAAAAGUGAAAAAAAGAGAAAAAAGAAAAAAAGAAAAAUUUGUUCACAAAAAUAUGUUUAUUUCUUUAAAUUCAAUUUUUGGGCACAUUAGUUAUUUUUAUUAAGUUAUUUUUGAGAAAAAGAAAAUGAUGAAAAAUGAGAAAUUGGAAAAUUUAAAAAUGGCCAUUUUUGUUUAGUUUUUUUGUUUAAAAUUAUUUUUUGUUUUGUUAUUAUUAUUAUUACGGUUUGUGUAAUUUUGUUAUUAUUAUUAUUAUUAUAUUAGUUAUAUUUUAUCAUUUCUGUAUUUAUUAAAUUAUUUAAAAAAAAAAAAAAAAAAAAGAGGUUUUACGUGCAAGCUGCGGAAACGCAGCUUGCAAAGGACAGUCACGGAUUACCAAUCGAAGGGCUAAGGGGAGAAGGCUUAAGUGAAGAUAAUCUACAGCCAUUGAAUGAAGGGUUAAGGUUGGCUAGCCGUAUAUAAAAGGGGAAGAAACGGAGAGCCGAAAGGGGGAAAAAAAAAGAUUGAAGGGUUUCAGGGAAAAACAAAACAGAAAGAGUUGACGGGCAAGGGGAGGAUUCUGGGGGGAGUGAACGGAGGAAGGGAAACCAAAGCAAAAGGGCAGCUACGGGAUAGAGUGCUGGGGGGUUGGACAACUAAGGAUAGAACAGAGGGAAGGAAGAGAGAUUUCUGGGGGUUGACGUCUGAACAGAUAGAGAGGAACUAGAAAAGCGGCGGUAAGACGGAGGGCUUCGAGCAAAGGCUGAGAAAAGAGGACGGCUGGAAGUAGAAGGAAAAAACAGCAAAUAGAGAAGGGAGGGGCGGUUGCUGGAAAAGAAAAACAAGGGCAAAAGUUAGAACAACAGAGAGCAAAAAGGCUGAGGAAGUGACGGUGAGGUUUUAGAGAGAGUGGAGAGCCGAGAGGGUAGCAAGGCUGCAACUAACGGGAAUCAGCAAUCAUCAUCGCCACCAAUCUUCACCUACAGAGCUUUGUAAGCUAUGUUCUUCCCUCAAGAUUUCAUUUUUCUUUAAGCAUGGACGCUUGUAGUUUUCUGUUGUAUUUUUAUCUCAAUUUUUCUGGGGGUCUGCCUACGUUUUUCCUGAAAGAUUGCUGUUUUAUUUGUUGCUUAGUUUGAAGUUUCUAGUUCUUCCUGACAAAUUUUGAGGACUUGCCGUGUUUGAUGGACUGCCCGCUAAGAACUUUAAUUGAAUGAUGACUUUGUUGCCUUUUGUGUGUGUGAAAAAUGACACGGUCGGCAAGCUCCAUUUUUGUCAAAAUAGUCGAUUUUCAUGGAAGAGAGUAGAGUUUUGAAAGGUUCGGACGGGUUUGUUUUGCAUCCUUCCUGCCUCUUUUCUUCUUACUUUUCCUUGUGUACGAACCUGAAUUAUUUUGGAGAUUGAUGCAAGUAGUGGCGGCUGGAUUUACUUGAUUUUUGCAUAACACUGUCCGAGUGAGUACGAGCUGCAACUUUGGCAACGGAAUAGAAAGUUUUUGCAUUCCCUUUGCUGUUUUCUUACAUGCAAUUGCUCAUCAAAGUUUUGGCUAUCCAGUUUGCUAGUCGACUUCUAUUUUGGUAAAAGGAAGCAGAUAAUGGGUGUUGGGUUUGAAUUUUGGGGGCUGAAAUGGAAAAUGGCCGAAAGAAUGCUAGCUGGAAGUGAAUAGAACAGGAUUGCCGCAUCAUGUUGCAUAAAAUUUCCCAGCAUUUACGUGAUCCCCUUUCUAUGUUUUGUUUUGUUUGAUGCUGAAGUCGUGUGUUGUUUGUUGAAAUCAAAGUUAUACAUUGGUUCGAGAGAGUGUGGUUGAGGAUAGCAUUGGGUUUUCUGAAAUCUGUGAACAAAAUGCAGCAAGGGGAAGCUGCUGCAUUUUUUUUUUCCCUUUCUUUCCUUUGCCGCGUUUCCUGUCCCUUGACUACUGGUUGAGUUUUUGCACUUCAGUGUCAUGUUUGAGGGAAGCAAGGGAAGGUUGAAUGCUGAGUUUGCAUGUUGAAAUGUUUGGAGCAUGUUCGAGCACUAGGUUUUCUUUUGCUGCAUUCUGUUUCGGUUGUAUCCCAUUGCUGCAUUUCGUUUUUUACUUCGGGCAGCUAUCAUUCCAGUUUCUCUGUUUUGAUCUUUGCAAGAGAGGUGGAAUGGCCGGGUUGAUUCACAAUUGGAAAGUUUGUGUCUUGUGAUUGAUUUUCAUUGGUAAUGUUAAAGAUGGCAUUGGAACACAAUAGGUUGCAACAAAGGUAUUAGCUGGAAUUUUGCAGAAGCCUUUGUAUCUACGUAAAUUGCAUGAAAAUUGCAUGAAAUAGUUUUCAAAAAUUAUACUUUGGUCCCCCAAGUCUCCCCUUAAGCCACUAAGGCCCAAAAACUUUGGAAAUUUAAUCAAUUGGAUCCUUUGUAUUUUGCAGCAACGCAUGAUGGCCCAGUUACAUUUCAUGUUCUUGCAAUUAGGUUCUAAGGUGUUUGCAUUUGAAUCAUUAAUUGAUCUUUAUUACUUUGGGGACCUUUGAAACUCUUUGAUGAUUCAUUUUUGACGUUGAUUGUGAUUGAUUAGGGAUCAUUAUUGGGUCCUAGAAAUGCAAGUUUAAACCAUUCAUGGACCUUCAUUCAUUCUUGGAUUUUUGAGAUAUGAUGUUUGCUUGGACUUUAUUAUUUAUUUGGGGACCCUUGAGUUCUUAAAUGCCUCAAUUAAGUUCUAAUUUUUUGCAAAUAGAUCUUAGAAUAGUUGAAUUUCGAGCCAUUACUUGACUUUUUCUCUUUGCCUUUGGACCUUUGAAGUUCCUAAAAGUAUUUGAUUGAGCUUGAAUGCUUGGUUAGCGUUCACCAUUGAGUCUUUGGUAGCAUCAAUGUUUCAAUUCAAUUGCUUGUUGGCCUUCAUUGGUUACCAUGUUUUGCUAAGGUGAUGCUUAAUGCAUGGAUUUGUGAACCUUGCAACUAAAUGAACUUGUGGUGACCCAUGUUCUUUAAUUUCCCUAAAUAAGUUGAUUAAUUGACCUUUUCAUGCUCAUGGACCUUUUGAGUUCUAAAAUGUUUCAUUUAGCUUUGAAUGGUUGAUUAAUGCUUGCAUUUGGGUCCUUGGUGGAUUCCUUUAUUGGAAAUUAUGCAUAGUUUGAUUUCACUUAAAGUGCAAUUAGGAGAGUUUUUGGUGACUUUGUUAUACUUUACUAUUUGAGGUACCGUGACCUUUUUAUUGUUUUGAAGCCAUUUUUCUUUCAUUUGGACUCCAUUCCAAGGGAGGUACACUCUCUCCCUCAUUUUGCACUUCAUUUGACUCUACGUGCUCCUACGUGUUAUGUGAAUAUGCAUGCCUACUCCGCUUUCCUUACCUCCUUGCAUGCAUUUACUUGUUUUUACUUCUAUUUAAGUUUUAUGGGGUAUGUGUACACCUCUUGGCUUGUAAUAGAUAGUGCUCGGAGAGCAUCUGGUCCAUUUCCCUUUCCCCUUUAUGCUUUCAUGGGGUAUGUGUACACCUCUUGGCUUGUAAUAGAUAGUGCUCGUAGAGCAUCUGGUCCAUUUCCCUUUCCCCUUUAUGCUUUCAUGGGGUAUGUGUACACCUCUUGGCUUGUAAUAGAUAGUGCUCGUAGAGCAUCUGGUCCAUUUCCCCUUCCCCUUGGUUGCUUGCUUUUGUUGUUACAUGUUAAAUUGCUUUAGUAGGCUCUUGCAUCUAGUCGAGCAUGCUAAGUGCUACGUGCUAUGUGUUUACGAGUAUUUUGGCAUGUCUACUUGCUUUCAUAGCCAUGAAUGAAUGGAAUGGAUGAAUGUACGCUUCCGCUAGUCCAACGCUAGUCGGAAUUCAUAGAAUGGGCUAGUCCAACGCUAGACCCUUAGGGAUUUCCCCUCAUUAGCAUAUCUUUUGCUUGUUCACCACAUAUCAUGCAUUUUUCUUAGUUUUAUCACUUGGCAUGCUCCUCUAGUCCCUUCCCUCUCACCUUAGAUUUUUGCAUCUCAUACUAGCUAUAGGGUUCAUUUUGCUUGAGUGUCCCCUUCUGAUAAGGGAAAUGAGCGAGUGUGGCUACUCGAUAGCCUUAGCACGCUAGUUUCGCCUUCUAAUCAAAGGGAAAAUCAAGUCACGAUUUAGGUCUCCCCGUGCCCAAUAUGCAUGAAUUCCCUAGGCUCAUGCAUUUUCAAUCCACUCUAUCAUUACACUUUCACUUUUGUCUCAUUAGCACACAUGCACCUUUUUAUCACCUUCACUUGCACACGAACACUUUUUUGUCUCCACUUGCACACGAACCCUUUUAUCUUCACUUGCACACGAGCAUUUUAUCUUCACUCACACACGAGUACUUUCAUCUACAUUUGCACACCUUCACUCUUAUCUUAUUACUUUUAUCAUUUUUCUCACUUCACACAAACUCACACUUUCACAUGGCAUGCAUUCCACUCAUUUUUCACGUCAUUUAGGUUUAGGUGUGACCUCUUCAAAAGGGUCAUUAUUGGGCUUCACAAUUAAUGUGAUUGGCACCACUCAACCUUUGAAGAGAAAUUUCCCCCAAUCCCCCUAGGUCUAGGUUUUUGCACUCAUAUAGAUAUAUCCAAUACGCGGUACAUACCUUGGGUAGAAAAAUUAGGAAAAAUUGGUUUGAAUCGCGCAACUAGCCUUGGCUAGGUCAAAGGGGUGCCUUGGAUUCUAUCCUUGCCUUCCCCUUUGUCAAACGUGACCCCCGAACCUUUUUUUUUGGCUUACGUGGACUAGGAGUCGUUUUAAAAAGGGUUUUACUACUUUGUCUUUAAAAAACACUUUUUGGGUGACUUGGUACACCCCAAAUCUAUACCAAGUGGCGACUCCGUUUUCAUAUUUAAAAAACCCUUUUUAAAAUUUCAUUUGGCCAAAUCGUCGCUUUCCAAAGUCCCAUGGCCUUUUUACUUUUCAUUUUGCAAUCGUUCACACCACACUUCACACACACAUCACAUUCAUACAUAUCGAUUCAAAAAGUGGGGCGCGACAAUUAGGAGAUAAUUGGAGGUUGCCUAGAUGGUUUAGCCAUGAGGGACAAGAAGAUAGCUCUAGCAAAAUAAUGCGCCAAGUGUCAAAUUGUUGUUGGACUAAACUUGCCUAACUUUCUUUAACUUUAAUAAAAGACCAAAAAUUGACUAAAUCAUCUUCAUUUCAGCCUUGUCUUGGCCGAACCUCUCUAGCAAGCAAAGGAAAAAAUUCUUCAACCUUCAACCUUCCAUCUUCUAAUCUUGCUCAAAUCUUGAAAACUAACCGUUUGUUUCUUGAAUUAGUCCAUAAAAACAUCUUGCUAAGGGUCUUUGAAGAGUUUGGUGGUGUUGUUUUGGAAGAAAACCUCACAAGCUACAACCUUUCUUGAAGAACUAUGGUAUCUUGCUUGGAACUCAUCUUUUGUUAUAAAUUUUGGCCAAUUGGUGCCUUAUAGUAGCUAUUUACGCGAUUUUACGGAAGAUUUGGUGGAUUGGAGUGAAGUUUCCUAAUUUUCUGAUUUUUCUGGAUUUUUUUCUGGAAUUUUCUGUUUUCCUAUGAUGGAUAUGAUUGAGCUUGAAUUGGUGGUUCUAAAUGGUAUUAAAUAGCUCUCUUGUGCGUUAAUUGUGGUUAAUUGCGGAAAAUUUCCGCUUGUGCAGAAAAUUUCAGAUUUAGGGUUUCAAAUUGGGGGUUUUCUAUUGUUGAUUGUUGAACUUCUAAUUGGCUAUAAUUGAAGGGUAUUGUGACCCUAAUGACGCAUAUGGAAUGGCUUAUAUAUUGUUUGGGUGCUUGUGGUUGUGUUGGAUGGCUUUUAUUGGUUGUCUUGUAGGUUGGAAAAGCUGAAAUUUUAGGAGAAAUGUUGUCCAAGUGUCUAGGGUAUUGGAUUCUUAUGUGUUGGGUUGAGAUUUGAUAGAAAUGAAUAAUCUUAGGGUUUAUUUCUACUUUUAACCCUAAAUGUUAUGUAUUUUUCAUUUCCAAGCUAUAUUUGGGUCUUGCCUUAAUAGUUCCUAGAAAAAGGUAUUCGACUUGUGUUUGCGUUUUCAUUGUACUUUCUUGAUUGUUAUAGGGCGUGCCGGUGAUCCGAGGCUCACGUCGGGCGAAAACUUGUGAAAUUUCUUUGUUGAACUUGGUGAGUGUACUACUCACAUAUUUGUUAUUCUGUGGCUUUCUUGUACUUGAAUUCUGUGAUUUGGGCUAGUUGUGAUGAUUGUUUGAGCUAGGUGAGGCGAGGGUGUACUUUACCACUCUCGUACUCU